CACCCACCUCCGGGUGGAAGCGAGUGGCGAACGGCUGAGUAACACGUGGAGAACCUGCCCCCCUCCCCCGGGAUAGCCGCCCGAAAGGACGGGUAAUACCGGAUACCCCGGGGUGCCGCAUGGCACCCCGGCUAAAGCCCCGACGGGAGGGGAUGGCUCCGCGGCCCAUCAGGUAGACGGCGGGGUGACGGCCCACCGUGCCGACAACGGGUAGCCGGGUUGAGAGACCGACCGGCCAGAUUGGGACUGAGACACGGCCCAGACUCCUACGGGAGGCAGCAGUGGGGAAUCUUGCGCAAUGGGGGGAACCCUGACGCAGCGACGCCGCGUGCGGGACGGAGGCCUUCGGUCGUAACGACUUCAGCAGGAAGAGUCAAGACUGUACCUGCAGAAGAAGCCCCGGCUAACUAACGUGCCAGCAGCCGCGGUAAUACGU
rnacentral:rRNA from 1 species